rnacentral:hammerhead_ribozyme from 1 species
AUGCAGCUAACGAAUCCCAAAUAGGACGAAACCCGUGUCCUGCAU